ensembl:lncRNA
CUGCGGUGAUGCUUGCUGGGAGGAGCUUGAUGCCACCCUAACCCUAACCCCAGUCCUAACCCUAACCUGCCUCCUUGCCUUUCCCUCUCCCAGGCUGGAGACAUGGGGGACCAGCCCUGCCCGCUGGGCGGCAGGGAUCCAAAAAGCCACCUCCGCAAGGUGCUGAAGGAGCUGUUGCUGCUCAGGCUGUUGAAGCGCACGAACCGCAGGAUCCUGCGGCUGCACGCCGUGGCCGUGCAGUGCUGGCACUCGCUUGCGGCGCAGAGGCUGCCCGGCCUCCUGCCGGUCCCUCCCAGGAUGUGCCACCUCACACCAAAGCCACAGGAGGUCACGGAGGAGGCCGUCAGCAGCCCAGCGACCAACGCCACCAGCAGCAAGGAUGUGCCCAUGGUCCCCGAGACGGGGACCCCGCUGGGGGACCCCCAGCCGCUCGCCAAGAACUGGGGGGCUGGCGAGGCCAAGAAGGACAUGCUGGGGACCCUGCCCCAGCGCUUCCACUUGCCAGCCCCCAAAGUGCUCUGCCGGCCGUCGGCCCAGCGCUGGGUCAAACCCUGCUGCACCCGCUCCUGCGGCGAGAGCCUGGAGCAGGUGCUCACCAUCCGCUACCCGCAGUGAGGGCGAGGCGCCGCUGCCGUCGGGCUGCCGGAGGUUCGGGGCUGGGAGGAGCAGGAGGUGAGCUUCCAAGAGGAGGUCUGUGGGGCGAUGCACCGAGCCAUUGUGCUGUGAAUAAAGGGAGCGAGCUGUGUCUCCUGACCCAGACGUUCUGCCCGAGAGUUGUGUUUGGUUCGGCGUCCCGCUGUGUUUGCAGGUCGGUGGGUUCCACUUGCUUUGGAUUCGAGGGGCUGAAGAUGUCGGGGGUGAUGCCUGCGUACAGAGGGGCUGGAAAUCUUUCCUCCAUGCACCCCAUCACCAGGCACCAGGGAAAGCUAUGCCCCUGCUGGGCUCGGGGACCAGCAGUCCCCAGGAUGCCUGGCCAGGGUCAGGAGCCUUACACAGGCAGAGUUAGCAGCUGCAGGGCUCCGCUCCCCUGGGUUUCCUUCAGGGGAGCACGGCACCAUUUUCCCACCAGCCUCGCAGGUAAACACCCAACCAUCCCCAUCCCUCCAGCCUGGAAAAGGAGAGAAAACUGUCGCCCAUCUCCUACGCGAGGAGGUGGUGGGCUGAUCCACCAGCAGGAUUAAUGGGCCACUGGUGUGGCAGAGCUGUCAGCAGGCUGUGAGCUGGGACGUGCCCAGCCCCCAGAGCGAUGUCACCAAAGCCACCUUCUGCUCCCAUUUCGGCUGGAGUAAAGGAAAGUGGCUCGCUGGCCAAGAGCCAGGGCCGGGCUGUAAGGAUGCAAAAUGCCGUACGGUCCCCUUCAGGGUAUUGCAGCGAUGGGAAUUGCCGGUGCCAGGAUCAACAGAGAAAGUUUUAUAGCUGUAGGUGCUAAAGUUUAAGGCUUUGAACCCACACACACUCAGGCCUUUGUUCAACGUUUGGCCUUGGUUUACCCUGCGAAAUUACAAGUGGCUGCCGGGCCCGGGGGCGAGCACAGAAAGCAAAAAGCGUGGAGCAGGAGCACGAGGAGGGAGCACGGCCCCGCGGCACCCCGUGUCCUGCCCGGAUUGCUGCUGCUGGGGGGCAGCGGGGUCCUCACGCCCUGAGGCCAAGGGCCGGGAGCUGCAGCUCCGGGGGGCACGGGGCAGGGGGGGGCUCUCGGGGCUUCCUCGGCAGCGAGGGGGGCGAGCCCGGCACGGGGCGCUCGGAGCGCACGGGUCGGGUGUGCGGAGCGUGGCUGGGGAGGGAU